UCUUCCUGUCGAUGUUGACUCAAAACAGACCACCACCACCACCACCACCACCACCACCACUACCUAACGCUGUGUCCAGGCUGGAAUGUGUGACCUCUCUGCCAGGAAUCUCACCGUCCUCUCACACUCUGACACCAAGUACCUCACAACAACACCUGCAAUACUACACCUCUGAGCCCCCCCGGAGCCUGGCGGCCCUGCUCGGUCCCUUCCACGACUCGCAGCGAGAGAGAGAGAAGUCGAGGUGCGGUGGUCUCGUGGCGGAAGGCUGAAGGAGGCGGUGAAGGAGUGAAGGUGUGAAGUGUGCAGCUUCCACUUCAUCAUCCCAUGAACAGCCCACAGGAAUCUCUACCAGCACCUGGUUAUUAAACAGUGUUGUCACGCCAGGCCCAAUGUACUCCAUUGCAAUCAGGGAGUCAGGGAGUCAAGCUUCACCAGGAAAAGAGGCAGAGCGUCACCACCUUCAAGCCCCACAAGAGGUAUUAAGUAUCGUUGGGACAAAGCAAUCAGGGAAGAGUCAAGUUGCAGUAAGAAGAGUGUGUCAAGAAUUUCAAGCAGGAAGAACACGUAAAAUUCCCUUCAAGUCAUGGUGGGACCGACAGGCAACCUUCAACACUUGUGGAGGCACGAGAGCUGCAGGCAGUUUCACAAAGAAGAGGUUGCUCCUCACUCAAGUUGAUGCAAGGACACAAGAAUUGGCAAGUGUUGUUGCUCCCAGGCCCUGCUGCAAGAGUUCUCCAGUCCACUCCAGUCUGGGAAGGAAGAAUGUAGCAAGUCCCUCUCUUCUGUACUCAACAACCACCACCACCACCUUCAUUCAGGCUUGGGAUAAGUUUUGUACAUUCCAGCACUUCAGUAAUAAGGAAAAAAAGUGCCAUGUUUAUAUUAUUGUUGUGUAUUUAUUCACUUAACAUUCACAUUAAAACAAUAAACAUUCA